UUUUGGUUGCUAUGGACUGUUGAUAGUUCAUGAGCGUUAAACAGCGUAAGCUCAGAUCAUUCAAAUUUGUUUUAUUUUGUUAAUCCAAAUCAAUGUGUUCUGUUAAUGCAUAUUUAAAAUUGCAAUCUAAACGUAUAUUUUGAUUUAAGUGGUUUAUUUAUCACUCUCUCAUGCAGGCAAACUUCAUUUCCAAUGAACGGGUUCCCCGACUUCACUGAAUGAUGGUAGUGUUGCAACAACUUCAGGCAAAGACAAUCCGUAAGUAUUCAAUUUUGCAAUCUGUUUUGUUGUUCAAUAUGAUUAUAAUCUGUAGCAAAUUGCACGAUAAAAUCUUUGCAUGAUUCUGGGUGAACAAUGUUGCUAUCAAUGUGAUGCAUCUUGAAUGUGUGAAUUACUUCUGAAAUAGUGGAAUGUUUUUGGCUAUGAAGAUAGCAAAGAAAAAGAAAAAUAGGCAUAUCGACAUGAACUUUGAAAAUUAAAUUCCCACAAACUCCCCAAAAACCAAUCAUGAAUCCAAGCCCUAAAGUGAUAUAAAACCCAAAGUUUAUGAGUUCGUCUUCAUCUCUUUUGAUUCCAUUUCUAUGAGCAUUGGCAUCUUCUAGGCAAUCCUUUGACAGAGGUGUAACUAAGAAAAAUCAAAAUCAAAUUCAAAAUGCUUCCCGGAACUAUACCAUAAAGAUAGUUUCUUGACAAGUCAAUUGAUUCGAACAUUUUCAUAUGACCAAUGUUGUUGAGAAUGAAUCUGUGUGAGAUUAUUGCUUGAAAGAUUUAAGCUAGCCAAUGCAAAUUGUCAUAUGAAAUUUGUUCUUUCGAAAACUUUGUAUUUGACAAAGCAAUUAUAUUAUCUUUUACAGAGAUCAAAUGCUUGAAGAUGUAAUAAAUUGCACAAAUUGUUGGUAUGCUUCCUUGGAACUUAUUUGCUCGUAGACGCAAAACAAUCAACUGAUGUACGGUUUAGCCUACCCAUGCUGGUAAUGUCCCUUUCAUAUUCUUGUUCCCAAAAUCGAACAACUUCAAGUUGCUACGAUGAUUCAAAGAUGGAAACUCAUCAGUGAAUUUGUUGUUAUUAAAAAUGGAUUGUCUCGAUUCCUUGUGAAGUGCCAAAAGACUUCGGUAUUCUCCCCAAAAAAAUUAUUUGUUGCCGAAUCCAGUUUCCAUACUUGGUAUUGAUUUUGGCAAGGUAUGCCAAACCUGGUGUUAGCUCUCAAAACCAUUCAGGAACAAAGAAAUCUGAAAUACCACUAUUGGAAAUUUGCAACAACAUAAGUUUCUUUUGAAGUUUGAGCCACAAUGGAAUGUUAGGCCUCAAAUUGCAUGAAUAUGCAGAUAGAUGAAUCAGUUGGAAAGGUGGAGUCCAUUUUGAACUCAAGUUGAAUGAGUGAAUUUUGGUCCACCUACCAAUACUGCAAGUUUAAUCGACCCGAUUCCACCUAGUGAGACUAAGACUGGACCCGAUUCCACCUAGUGAGACUAAGACUGGUCGGUCGUUGUUAUUUUUACAAAAUUUGCAAGUUGAAUAUGUAAAAAAUGUGCUUCAAUAUGAAUAUGUUAAACAGAUAAACAAAUGUUAGAGAUUAGAAACUUGGCC
rnacentral:lncRNA from 1 species